AAAUUUAUAUGAAUUUUCUCUCUAUAUAUUUAUAUAUAAUCACUUCUAUAACAAAUGCUUCCCGAAUACACACACAAUUCCCCAAUAUAUUAUUCUAAAAUCGAAAAAAAAACCCCAAAAAAAGCAAAAAAAAAAAAAAAAAAAAAUUCGCCACGUGAAAUAUACCAAAAAGUUAGAAAAAUUGGGGAGGAAACGGUGGAUUAACCUGCUCGGAUCCGCUUCUUCGGAGGGAGGGGGACGAAGAUCGCGGCGAGAUCGAGAUCGUCGUCGGGGACGACGCGGAAGCGCCGCCUCGGCGGCAACGGCGACGGCGGCGACAACGACUGCGACCGGAGCCGCCGCUUCGGCGGUGGGAGGAGGAGCCUCCGCCGCGGCUUCACCGGGGGUUGCGGCGGCGACUUCGGGGCCUUGAUCUUAUACUCCUCCCCCUUCGGCGUCACGCACUCGUCGUCGUCGUCGUCGUCGUCGACGCCGCCAUUGGAGGCUGCAGAGACUCGGAUCUGCGGCGGAGGCAGGAGAAUCGUGGCCGUCGAUCUCGGAGCCCAUCGUAGGAUGAAGGAUUAUGCGGACGUGAUCGGAGGAGGGGGGGGAAAUUAUGCGGGAGGAGGAAGCGCCAAAGGAGUUCGUUAAUAAAUAGUGGAAUUGCGAAGGGGAAUGGGGGAGAAAACGAG
rnacentral:lncRNA from 1 species